rnacentral:tRNA from 1 species
GGCCUGAUGGCUUAGUGAUUAGAGCACUGGCUAUAUAAGCCGGAGGUCCUGGGUUUGAAUCCCGAUCAGGUCA